UUAUUAUAAAUACCUAAGAAGUAUUAAAAUAAAAAACCUUUAUAUAUUGGCGGUCUUAUUAUUUUAGAGAAACUCGCUUACUAAUUGAUAAUACUCAUUAAAUUUCACCUAAUCUACUCAAAUAAAUCAUUAAGCUUAUAUACCGCCGUUCAUAAUAGAUCUCACUAAAAAUUUAUACCUUACAAAUCUCACCAUCUUAUAAAAUCAGGUCAAGGUGUAGCUAAUAUUUAGGCCUAAGUAAGUUACAUUAAAAAUAAUUUAAGGAUAAAAUAAUAAUAUUACAAUUAAAAAAGAAUUUAUAUGUACAUUUAAACUAAAAUUUUAUUUCGAAACAUAAUACUAAGACGC
rnacentral:rRNA from 1 species